GACAGCAAGGCCCCUCACUAGGUUUUGGAACAGAGCCAUUGUGCACUUAUCAGUUUGCUCUAAUUAUCUGCUUAUUGUGUUUUUUUUUACUCUUUUACUCGAGCACUUGAUCACUGCUCUUUAUUACAAUCAUUUAUUGUGAUGAAUGCAUAACUGUUGUGAGCCUCGUAUAUGUGUUUUCUGUUUUUAUUAUAAGGAUUGACCUCUAACGCUCCUUGUCAGUCUAUCUACAGUAUAACCACGUUAGGCCUUUAAAAAUAGAAAUUAGAGCUCAGUCUUCCAGCCCAUCUAUACACGCUUCUUUUUGUGGACAUCAAAAGCGCCUGCAUGCUUCCAGUGUUUCCAUUUUCAAUCUCACGCCGCUGCCAAAUCCAAAAACUGGAGCACUGAAUAAACAGAUCCAAAACGGUCCCGUACAGAGCAGCUGUUAUUAGCAUAAAUGCUCAACUUGUGCUGAGAACUCACAGACAGAGUUUGGAUAAAGAGUAAAAUGGAACGGGGAGGAAAUGAUUGAAGAAAGAUGAGGAGUCAGAGGGGCCAUGAGACGUGUUCCCUUGAAAUCUGCUGCCAAAGAAAUGUCACCAAGAACCUGUAUGUUCCUGAGAAUAAUUGGACGCGGCUCCAGAGGGAGGAGAGGACGGAGAUAAGCAGUGACAGGAUUGUGCAGGGAAGGGCUGGUGCUGGUGGUUUAUUACACGGCCCCGGGGCGCACAUUUCUGCGGCCGACAUGUCUGGACGCGACCCCCGCGCCAGAGUAUUGAAGCACGGCUGUGAUUGAACACAAAAGAUGGGAAGAGAGAGAGAUCUGAGACAAUGAUGUCACUCAUUCCCGAUAGCGAUGAGAAUCAUGUGGAAUUUCGGUUUAGAUUCCUUAACAGUUUUGGUUCCUUAACAAAGCUCUUAGUACUUGACUGGUAUAAUUAAAGUGACAGUUCAUCCUAAAAUUAAAAUUCUGUCAUCAUUUACUCACCAAUCUUCUGUCCAGUUCGAGCUGUGAAUGUCAUGAGCUGUAGUUCAGUGAAUCAGUCAAGAACCGCUCCACCCGAGUGAAUCAUUACACUGAUUCAAACUGAUUAUUUUGAAUCAUUUUAUCAUGA
ensembl:lncRNA